CUCCCAGACGCUGCCCCGGAAGCUGGGCCGGCCUCAGGCAGGUGGGUGAGCAGCCCGGAGAGGUCGCCCGCCCACCACCUCAUCGGCUUGGCCAGCACCCACCGGCCCCCGGGAGGCCUGGCCGUGAGCAAUCACAGUGCGGGGUGCGCUGUGUCGCUCCUGUGGGCGUGGGCGCUUCCGAGGGCCAUAGCGCGUUCAGGUUUCCGGUUCUUUCCGUGAUGAUUUCGGGGUUCUGUGCAACCCCAAGGAAAGCCCCUGAGGGCUGGAGCAGGCUGCAGUGCCUGGAGGCUCAGUGGGGGGCGCCUCGCCCUCCCCAAGCCGGACUGGGUCCCACACUAAGGCGAGUUCUGGGAGUGCUCACUGGAUGGUCUGGAAGAUGGACCGACUGAGGAUGGGGGGGCCCACCAGCAGGCAUGAGACACGGGACCUGGGCCGUGGGACCCAGGGACAGGCCUCUGGGGGCUCCAGCACCUGCCCCAGCACAAGACGCCCAGCACAGGGCUCCCGUGGAGGCGGGGCAGGGCAUGGCCAGACGUUCCACAGACUGCCCUUCACACUGCAGCCUGGCCCACGUGUCCACACCUGGACUUGGCUGUGGCUCCCAUCCGCCACCUCACCCUGCACCUGUCAGGCCGGGGCCCAACCGCGCCACCUCUGUCCUCCGCACCUGGAACACCUCCCACCCCCUUCCCCUGGCAAACUUCUCCUCAUGCUUCAGAACCCCUUCCAGCCUCUCGGGGCCACUGCCAGACAUGGCCCCAGACUCGUGCUGGCAACACCCCCCAGGACCUGGCUCCCUGCUCCUCCCCCCAGGGGCCCCUGAGGGCACAGUGUGUUUCCCACUCCCCUGGGGCAGCAGGGUCCAAACGGGGUAGCAAGAAGGCCAAAAGCUGGGAGGGAAGCACCUGAGCCCCUCGUGCAGCCACCUCCCCGCCUCGUGCAGCUACCUCCCCACAGGAAAUGCAGAGGGAGCUAUGCAGGGACCAGAGGCCCCUUCUCCCCAAACCUCUUCUCUUACCCAAGAUGACCCAGCCCAGUAAACACAGAAUCUCCAUUUCAUA